CUGAUGAGAGAAAAAAUUGUGCUUCUCUUGUGCUGCUGUGACACACUGUCUUCCAAAAAAGAGAAAUGCAAGAGAACCUCGAGGGCAGUGCCAAGGCCACAAACUCAGGGAUGGGUGCACUGUGAUGGAAGUAAUAAGACACAUGCAUAGUGGCUCAAUCACUCUACUUGUAUUUGGAGAGGUUCAUCCACAAAAUGCAGGCUACAGCAACUCAUGAAACCAAGAUAUCUGGAGGGUGAAGAUUUACAUUUGUGGAGAUUAAAAAAAAAACACACUCCAUCAAUUGACACAGCUUGAUCCUUUGAGGCAUAGAUAUAAAAAUAUACUGCACCAACUGAUGCCCUUGAUCCUUCAAAAUAUUCUUAAAUCC